rnacentral:rRNA from 1 species
CAAAAACAUGGCUCCUUGUGAAUAAUAAAUAAGGAGUCGGACCUGCCCAGUGAAUAUAUUUUUAACGGCCGCGGUACUCUGACCGUGCAAAGGUAGCAUAAUCAUUUGCCUUAUAAUUGAGGGCUAGUAUGAAUGGUUUGACAAGAAUGAAGCUGUCUCUUUAUAAUUAAAUAGAAUUUUAUUUUCAGGUGAAGAAGCCUGUAUUAAAUUAAAAGACAAGAAGACCCUAUCGAGCUUGAAAGAAAUUAAUAGAAACAAAAUUAAUAAGACUAUAAAAUUAACUAUUAAAGAUUUUAGUUGGGGCGACUAAGGAACAAAAAAAGCUUCCUUUAUUAUUAUGAUUAAACAUACAAGUAUUGAUCCAGAAUAAUCUGAUUAAUGAAAUUAGUUACCGUAGGGAUAACAGCAUUAUCUUUUUUAAGAGCUCUUAUCGAAAAAAAGGUUUGUGACCUCGAUGUUGGACCAGAAUGUCCUAAAGAUGCAGCAGUCUUUAAGGGUUGGUCUGUUCGACCAUUAAAAUUCUACGUGA